rnacentral:rRNA from 1 species
UACAUGGGGUGCAAACGUUGCUCGGAAUUAUUGGGCGUAAAGCGCGCGUAGGCGGUUAUCUAAGUCGGAUGUGAAAGCCCUCGGCUUAACUGAGGAAGUGCACCCGAAACUGGAUAGCUAGAGUACGAAAGAGGGUCGCGGAAUUCCCGGUGUAGAGGUGAAAUUCGUAGAUAUCGGGAGGAACACCAGCGGCGAAGGCGGCACUCUGGGCUGGAACUGACGCUGAGGAGCGAAAGCGUGGGUAGCAAACAGG